rnacentral:rRNA from 1 species
CUCUAGAGAGACUGCCAGGGAUAACCUGGAGGAAGGUAGGGAUGACGUCAAAUCAUCAUGCCCCUUAUGCUUAGGGCUACACACGUGCUACAAUGGGUAGUACAGCGGGUUGCCAAGCCGUAAGGUGUCGCUAAUCCCUUAAAGCUACUCUCAGCUCGGAUUGUAGGCUGAAACUCGCCUACUUGAAGCUGGAGUUACUAGUAAUCGCAGAUCAGAAUGCUGCGGUGAAUGCGUUCCCGGGUCUUGUACACACCGCCCGUCACACCACGGGAGUUGGAGAC